rnacentral:rRNA from 1 species
CACGCAGGCGGCCAAUUAAGUCUGACGUGAAAGCUCCUGGCUUAACUGGGAGAGGUCGUUGGAAACUGAUUGGCUUGAGGUAGUGAGAGGGGUGCGGAAUUCCCGGUGUAGUGGUGGAAUGCGUAGAUAUCGGGAGGAACACCAGUGGCGAAAGCGGCACCCUGGCACUAUUCUGACGCUCAUGUGCGAAAGCGUGGGGAGCGAACG